CUUGUGGGGAGGCUUAGGACGGGCGGGUGCAAUCCUCGAAGGGGAGUCUCAGCGACCAUGGGGGACACCAUCCACUAGAUGUCAGGCUGAAGGAGAUGAUGAAACUCUGUAAGCCCAAGAACAUGGGGAAAGAGGAGACACAGGAAGCCACGCUAUCCCCACAGGGACCCCUGCCAGCCAGGCCACCCGCAACGGUGUGGGACUUGAGUGCCGUUGCCCCCGGCGGUCCAGCAGCAGGACAGCCCGAGCAGCCUGGCCUAGGAGGCUCACCGCAGCCGUCAAGGGAUUCUGGGCCACCCACCCUUCCUUCUCCACCUUCUACUUCGUCUUUGCCAUUUUUGUGGUGUCCACCAUCUUUCACUGCCACCAGCGCCUGGCUCUGGUGCCUGCGCCCUGGGCAUACUCCGCCCAUGUGGUCCUGGCCCCCAGACACCUGCCCCGGGAGGGCCUGUUCACUAUCAACUCCAAGGGCCGCC
rnacentral:sRNA from 1 species